rnacentral:lncRNA from 1 species
UGGUUAUUUCACAAGAACAACAAAGCAACCUCAGUCUCAAGGCUUGGAUGUAUGCAUAGAGCUAUUCCAUAGGGCGAUGAUCAUGAUUCUAGGGCGGACCUGUGCCUUAGAGCCUAAAAACGAAGCUAGACUAGUUUAAUCAUGUUAUAAACUUUGUAUUUUCCUGUUUUGAAACAAUGGAACACUCUUGUCAAUAAAUAAAAUGUAACUUUAAUUUCCAUGGUUGUAUAACAAU